ACGGGAGGCAGCAGCUAAGAAUAUUCCGCAAUGGAGGAAACUCUGACGCAGUGACGCCGCGUGCAGGAAGGAGGUUUUCGGAUUGUAAACUGCUUUAGACAGGGAAGAAACAAGACAGUACCUGUAGAAUAAGCUCCGGCUAACUACGUGCCAGCAGCCGCGGUAAUACGUAGGGAGCGAGCGUUAUCCGGAUUUAUUGGGUGUAAAGGGUGCGUAGACGGGAAAAUAAGUUAGUUGUGAAAUCCCUCGGCUUAACUGAGGAACUGCAACUAAAACUGUUUUUCUUGAGUACUGGAGAGGAAAGUGGAAUUCCUAGUGUAGCGGUGAAAUGCGUAGAUAUUAGGAGGAACACCAGUGGCGAAGGCGACUUUCUGGACAGAAACUGACGUUGAGGCACGAAAGUGUGGGGAGCAAACAGGAUUAGAUACCCUGGUA
rnacentral:rRNA from 1 species